CACCGCGGUUAUACGAGGGGCCCAAGCUGACAGACUAUCGGCGUAAAGAGUGGUUAAGAGAAACACAACUAAACUAGAGCCGAAUGCUUUCAAGGCUGUUUUACGCACCCGAAAGCAAGAAGAACAACGACGAAAGUGGCCCUAUCCAAUUCCCAACCCACGAAAGCUAAGGCA
rnacentral:rRNA from 1 species